CAAAAGUCCUCUGUAUGUCAGUAUGUCGCUACCACAGUUUCUUUACGUGGCACACUGUUUCCACACACCGUUUCCACACACUGUUUAGUAGGGUAGUAUGCUGUGUUGCUUUCCACCCGGAUUUGGUUUAUUUUGAAGAUAAAUCACACGAGUGCACUUUUCAUUUGUUGUUUUUUUGUGGCUCAUCCUAAAAGCUGUUCAGGACUCCAUCUGGGACAGGAAUGAAAACCAGCUGCUUUUUCAUGAUUUUCUACCUCACUUUCUUUGAUAUCUGGGAUUUAUCCACCUCUCAAAAUGCAAGAAAUGAGAGCAAAGCACAUAUUACAGCAACUGGGGUAUAUGUUACUGCUUGGGAAGGACAAAUAACUGUCACAGCUUCAAACUCAUCCAGCCAUGAAUCCAUCACACACACUGCACCGUUGUUAAGAACUCCAUUUACAACAAUGUGGAGCCAAAACGCUCCACCUCCUACAUCAGCCGCUGUCGUCCCAAUUCGCUCAGCAGCGUGUUCCAAGGUCCAUGUGGGCAGUUUCCUGGGUGGGAUGACCCUGGGCUUCAUCAUAACACUGGCUGUGUGUGUGGGCUACAGGUUCAUCUGCUCUGGCCAGCAGGGGCACUAUCGAGCUCUAGAACAACAUGAUGCCAUCAUAUAAUAGUGGAACCACUGGAGUGUCUAACGGUCAUAAAAAGCUGGUUUAUGAUCGGACAAGUCUUACUGUACUGUUACAGGUCAGCGUGAGGUGCCUGUUGCUAUUCAACAGCAUGUACAGAAAAGUACAGAUUCAUAUUAAACCUAUCUCAAUAGAAAUCUCUGAGGUUAUCAAACAGACAUCAACCAACAUCAUCAAAACAGAGAAGAGCACGUACACACACACUGAACAGAUGGCAGCAGAAGAGGACAGAUGAAGAUUGGAAAAAGACCAGACAAUAUUUCUCCAAUAUUCAUCUGUCCAGUUCAGGUGAGCCUGUGCUCACUGCAGCCUCAGAUUCCUGUUCUCGGCUGACAGCAGUGAAACCCCAUGUGGUAAUCUUCUACUGUUUUAGCCCAUCCGCCUCAAGUUUUGACGUGUUGUGUAUUCCGAGAUGCUUUCCUGCUCAGCACGCUUGUAAAGAGAUUUGAGUGAUUAUUUGAGUUACAGAGGCCUUCCAUCAGAGUCUGGCUGUUCUUCUCUGACCUCUCACAUCAACAAGGUGUUUCCACCCACAGAACUACAACUCACUGGAUGUUUUUUGUUUUUCACACCAAUGUGUAAACAGUCAAAGUCACCUGAACAUUAACAGCAAGACUGGUUGAUUAGAUAAUUGCAUAAAAGUAUGGGGAGAAAGGGGGGGCAGGUGUUCCUAAUAAAGUGGCCACUGAGCGCA